rnacentral:rRNA from 1 species
UCGCUUCUCUGAUGUUAGCGGCGGACGGGUGAGUAACACGUGGAUAACCUACCUAUAAGACUGGGAUAACUUCGGGAAACCGGAGCUAAUACCGGAUAAUAUUUUGAACCGCAUGGUUCAAAAGUGAAAGACGGUCUUGCUGUCACUUAUAGAUGGAUCCGCGCUGCAUUAGCUAGUUGGUAAGGUAACGGCUUACCAAGGCAACGAUGCAUAGCCGACCUGAGAGGGUGAUCGGCCACACUGGAACUGAGACACGGUCCAGACUCCUACGGGAGGCAGCAGUAGGGAAUCUUCCGCAAUGGGCGAAAGCCUGACGGAGCAACGCCGCGUGAGUGAUGAAGGUCUUCGGAUCGUAAAACUCUGUUAUUAGGGAAGAACAUAUGUGUAAGUAACUGUGCACAUCUUGACGGUACCUAAUCAGAAAGCCACGGCUAACUACGUGCCAGCAGCCGCGGUAAUACGUAGGUGGCAAGCGUUAUCCGGAAUUAUUGGGCGUAAAGCGCGCGUAGGCGGUCUUCAAGUCUGAUGUGAAAGCCCACGGCUCAACCGUGGAGGGUCAUUGGAAACUGGAAUACUUGAGUGCAGAAGAGUGCAAAGUGGAAUUCCAUGUGUAGCAGGUGAAAUGCGCAGAGAUAUGGAGGAACACCAGUGGCGAAGGCGACUUUCUGGUCUGUAACUGACGCUGAUGUGCGAAAGCUUGGGGAUCAUACAGGAUUAGAUACCCUGGUAGUCCACGCCGUAAACGAUGAGUGCUUAAGUGUUAGGGGGUUUCCGCCCC